CUAAAGAUUACUUUACAAAUUGUUCUGAUUUCUUACUUCAUGUACCAAUAGUAUAACAUCCACAUAUUCUGUAAAAUUUAUAAAGAUUGAAAAAAAAAAAAAAUUGUCAAAGUUUUAUGAUUUGAAUUUCAACUGAACUCAACUAAUUUGAAUAAUGAAAAUGAGUUGUCUCCCAUUGAAUGAACAAAUCUUGCUGUUAAUAAAACUAGUCUCCCCUUGAGAUAUAAUCCCUAUCUCAGGAUUUACUCCAGUAAUUGUGAUAGAAAUUCUUGUUAAUGUAACUGGUAUCUCAAAAUAUUAAACUGGUAAAUACAUUCUUCAAAGAUGUUUUUCACGCAGAAAAAAAAGAUGAAUAUGCACUUUUUAUCAAAUAUUUCUAGAAAAUGUAUAAAAAUUGUUUGACUUCAAUAAACUUGCCUUCUCAAUUUCAUGGUAAAGCCUCAGACUUGGUUGAAGAUUUUAUUGACCAUCUUCCUUAGAGCUGCUCUCCUGGCUGCCAGGGUGGCUGUCAUCAUUAUCUGAUUGUCAAUCUGUCAUUUUUUGGUCCAUUAUUUAUAGAAAUGAAUAAAGAUAUCAGAUGCACUUUCAAUUAAUCUCCUAUCUUGAAAAUUUCACCAAAUCAAUUCUACAAGAAGUAACCCAUGAUUUCUCCCACCCUCAAAUCUAUUAUCUAGAGCUCUGUUUACAUUUUUUUAUUUACAGAACUCUGAAUAAUAGUCCUUAUUAGCUAGUAUACAUCUGAUAUUAAACCCAAAACUUGUACAAAUGUGAAAUUAAAGUAAAUAGUUAUAUAUUCCCUACCAUGAGGAAAUUUCAAGAAUAAGGAGUUAAACAGGGGAAUAAUAAAUUACCUCCCUUUGCCAAAAAUUUCACCUGUUUGGACUCCACAUCAUUGCUAUAUCUAACAACAAAAAAAUGGUAUAGCUAUAAUUAAAAAUAAAUAAUUUGAUAUAAAAUAUUCAAACAUUUAAAAAAAAUAUUUAGUACAUCAAUUUUCAAUUUGGUGGUUCUCUCCCAUUACUCUGACUUUCUCAACCAAUAAAAAAAAAUGGCCACCAAGAUAUAAUCAAUAUUGCUGAAAGUGAUGUUUAACACUAAAA
rnacentral:lncRNA from 1 species